rnacentral:rRNA from 1 species
UACAGAGGGUGCAAGCGUUAAUCGGAUUUACUGGGCGUAAAGGGCGCGUAGGCGGACUAGUCAGUCAGUUGUGAAAUACCUGGGCUUAACCGAGGGGUUGCAAUUGAAACUAUUAGUCUAGAGUGUAGUAGAGGGAAGUGGAAUAUCCAGUGUAGCGGUGAAAUGCGUAGAUAUUGGAUAGAACACCGGUGGCGAAGGCG